GAAUUGUUCGCAAUGGGCGCAAGCCUGACGACGCAACGCCGCGUGGAGGAUGAAGGUCUUCGGAUUGUAAACUCCUGUUGCCCGGGACGAAUGGCUCCGACCUAACACGUCGGAGUGUGACGGUACCGGGUGAGGAAGCCCCGGCUAACUCUCUGCCAGCCGCCGCGGUAAAACAGAGGGGGCAAGCGUUGUUCGGAAUUACUGGGCGUAAAGGGCGCGUAGGCGGCCUGCUAAGUCGAACGUGAAAUCCCCGGGCUCAACCCGGGAACUGCGUCCGAGACUGACAGGCUGGAAUCCGGGAGAGGGAUGUGGAAUUCCAGGUGUAGCGGUGAAAUGCGUAGAUAUCUGGAGGAACAUCGGUGGCGAAGGCGGCAUCCUGGACCGGUAUUGACGCUGAGGCGCGAAAGCCAGGGGAGCAAACGGG
rnacentral:rRNA from 1 species